rnacentral:rRNA from 1 species
CAGUAGCCGCGGGAAUACGAAGGGUGCAAGCGUUACUCGGAAUUACUGGGCGUAAAGCGUGCGUAGGUGGUGGUUUAAGUCCGUUGUGAAAGCCCUGGGCUCAACCUGGGAAUUGCAGUGGAUACUGGGUCACUAGAGUGUGGUAGAGGAUAGUGGAAUUUCCGGUGUAGCAGUGAAAUGCGUAGAGAUCGGAAGGAACAUCUGUGGCGAAGGCGACUAUCUGGGCCAACACUGACACUGAGGCACGAAAGCGUGGGGAGCAAACAGGAUUAGAGACCCGAGUAGUCCCUGUCUCUUAUAA